rnacentral:lncRNA from 1 species
CCUUAAGAGGGCAACAGAAGCCCCGCCCCCAGGGUGCUGUGGCCCCGCCCACUAACGUGUGUUUUGAGCCCGGGAAGAAAGGCCCUGCCCAUGCCAGAGUUCCAUGGAACGGGAUGCACAGGGCUCUCUCAUUCGCUCCUAUUUCACCAUGGCCCACUGAUUGCUGGGAAGGCAGCUGCAGUCCUUCCAUUGAAGAGCAAGUCUAACUGUAGCUGAUAGUCACAGUCCUCUAGAGAGACCUAGAAAAAUUGAGGCACUUUCUUCAACAGCUAACUUUGCUCUAGAGAAUGACUGAGGAACUAGGAAGAAUACAAUCCAACUUAAAAGCUGCAGCUUCUCAGAAAAAAAGUCUUCAUGAAAAUUCAGGUUUACCAAAGUACUGGAUACCUGAAGAUCCCAGACUUCUCUGUGCUAGAUAAUUGAAGGCAGAGCACUCCACUGAAAAGGCUGCCAAGAUCUAUCAGUGAAACAAAGUAAGCUCCCACACAAUCUCUAGAUCCUGAAAAAAGAAAUGUUAGGAAAUGAUUUUGCAGU